rnacentral:rRNA from 1 species
CGGCCUACGGGACGCAGCAGUCGAGAAUCAUUCACAAUGGGGGAAACCCUGAUGGUGCGACGCCGCGUGGGGGAAUGAAGGUCUUCGGAUUGUAAACCCCUGUCAUGUGGGAGCAAAUUAAAAAGAUAGUACCACAAGAGGAAGAGACGGCUAACUCUGUGCCAGCAGCCGCGGUAAUACAGAGGUCUCAAGCGUUGUUCGGAAUCACUGAGCGUAACGCGUGCGUAGGCUGUUUCGUAAGUCGUGUGUGAAAGGCGCGGGCUCAACCCGCGGCCGGCACCUGAUACUGCG